GGCGAAAGCCUGACGGAGCAAUACCGCGUGAGGGAGGAAGGCUCUUGGGUUGUAAACCUCUUUUCUCAGGGAAGAAUUAAAUGACGGUACCUGAGGAAUAAGCAUCGGCUAACUCCGUGCCAGCAGCCGCGGUAAUACGGAGGAUGCAAGCGUUAUCCGGAAUGAUUGGGCGUAAAGCGUCCGCAGGUGGCUAUGUAAGUCUGCUGUUAAAGAAUCUGGCUCAACCAGAUAAAGGCAGUGGAAACUACAUGGCUAGAGUGCGUUCGGGGCAGAGGGAAUUCCUGGUGUAGCGGUGAAAUGCGUAGAGAUCAGGAAGAACACCGGUGGCGAAAGCGCUCUGCUAGGCCGCAACUGACACUGAGGGACGAAAGCUAGGGGAGCGAAUGGGAUUAGAUACCCCAGUAGUCCUAGCCGUAAACGAUGGAUACUAGGCGUGGCUUGUAUCGACCCGAGCCGUGCCGUAGCUAACGCGUUAAGUAUCCCGCCUGGGGAGUACGCAGGCAACUGUGAAACUCAAAGGAAUUGACGGGGGCCCGCACAAGCGGUGGAGUAUGUGGUUUAAUUCGAUGCAACGCGAAGAACCUUACCAGGACUUGACAUGUCGCGAAUUGAGGUGAAAGCUUCAAGUGCCUUCGGGAGCGCGAACACAGGUGGUGCAUGGCUGUCGUCAGCUCGUGUCGUGAGAUGUUGGGUUAAGUCCCGCAACGAGCGCAACCCUCGUUUUUAGUUGCCAGCAUUAAGUUGGGCACUCUAGAGAGACUGCCGGUGACAAACCGGAGGAAGGUGGGGAUGACGUCAAGUCAGCAUGCCCCUUACGUUCUGGGCUACACACGUACUACAAUGCUACGGACAAAGGGCAGCAAGCAUGCGAAUGCAAGCUAAUCUCACAAACCGUGGCUCAGUUCAGAUCGCAGGCUGCAACUCGCGUGCGUGAAGGAGGAAUCGCUAGUAAUUGCAGGUCAGCAUACUGCAGUGAAUUCGUUCCCGGGCCUUGUACGCACCGCCCGUCACACCAUGGAAGCUGGUAGUGCCCGAAGUCAUUACCCCAACCGCUUGCGGAGGGGGAUGCCUAAGGCAGGACUGGUGACUGGGGUGAAGUCGUAACAAGGUAGCCGUACCGGAAGGUGUGGCUGGAUCACCUCCUUUAAAGGAGACCUACCCGCUCAGAUAUUGAAAACAAAUUGUGAUUAGAUAUUGAGUUGGUCAUCCGAUAAGGUCGGUCGCGACAGUUGUUUAUAGCUUUCAAACUAUAUUUUGGUUCGCAAGCGGGCUAUUAGCUCAGGUGGUUAGAGCGCACCCCUGAUAAGGGUGAGGUCCCUGGUUCGAGUCCAGGAUGGCCCACCUGAAGUCAAUUCAAAAUUUAUGCAAAAUUAAAAAUUUCAAAUGAAGAAUUUCUUGAUUUUGAAUUUUGAAUUGGUUGGGGGGGUUUAGCUCAGUUGGUAGAGCGCCUGCUUUGCAAGCAGGAUGUCAGCGGUUCGAGUCCGCUAACCUCCACCAGAAAGUGUAUGUAAUUCCGGAAAAAGUUCAGCAACUGAGCAAUAUUUGCCAGACUGCUGGGUGAAUUUCCAGUAAUUGAACCUUGAAAACUGCAUAGUGAUAGCGAAUAAGCAGGCAGACACAGACACUCAGAUAAUUUUGAGUUGUGUUUGUAUUGAUAACCAAUUUUUGAAUUGGUCAAGCUAAUAAGGGCUAACGGU
rnacentral:sRNA from 1 species